UACGUAGGGUGCGAGCGUUAAUCGGAAUUACUGGGCGUAAAGCGUGCGCAGGCGGUUUGUUAAGUCCGCUGUGAAAGCCCCGGGCUCAACCUGGGAAUGGCGGUGGAAACUGGCGAGCUAGAGUGUGUCAGAGGGGGGGGGUGGAAUUCCACGUGUAGCAGUGAAAUGCGUAGAGAUGUGGAGGAACACCAAUGGCGAAGGCAGGUCUCUGGGCUGACACUGACGCUCAUGCACGAAGCGUGG
rnacentral:rRNA from 1 species